AGCGAACGCUGGCGGCAGGCCUAACACAUGCCAGUCGAACGAACCUUUCGGGGUUUGUGGCGGUCGUGUGAGUAACACGUGGGAACGUGCCUUUAGGUUCGGUAUACCUCAGGGUAACUUGUGCUCAUACCAAAUGUGCCCUUCGCGGGAAAGAUUUGUCGCCUUUAGAGCGGCCGUCGUCUGUUUAGCUAGUUGGUUGUGGUAUUGGCUCACCUAGGCGACGAUCAGUAGCUGGUCUGUGCGGAUGAUCAGCCAGAUCGGGGCUGAGACACGGACCAAAAUGGUAGGGAAGGGAGCAGUGGGGAAUCCAGCGGAAGGAGGGAAGGCGUGACGAAGCCAUGUCGGGUGAAUGAUGAAGGUCUUAGGAUAGUAAAAUUCUUUGACCGGGGACGAGAAUGACGGUACCCGGAGAAGAAGCCCCGGCUAACUUCGUG
rnacentral:rRNA from 1 species